UAGGUAGUUUCAUGUUGUUGGGAUCGGGUUUAAACUCGACAACAAGAAACUGCCUUAA
rnacentral:pre_miRNA from 1 species